rnacentral:lncRNA from 1 species
UGCUAUCGAUAGCACCAAGGAUUUGGUUCUAUCGAAUUUUUCGCCAAUAAAUUUAACCUUUUAAUUAUUUUUAUCCGUUAGAUUAUACUAUUCAACUAACUACCUACUCAACCCUAGAGGACCCACAUCAUCCUAACUGCACAUUUCUUAAUCUAAGGGCUAAAAAAUUAAUAGCACCAAUAGCUUGAUGCUAUUAAUAGUAUUCCAGCCUAGUUCUAUAU